UGCCCUCACGGGUAGACCUCCCACCCUUUGUUUACAAUACCUUUGUUGCUUUGGCGGGCCCGUUUGGCCCCGCGCUGAACAACCGGCCCCGGCUGGUCAGUGCCCGCCAGAGAACCGAAAACUCUGAAUUAAAUGUCGUCUGAGUACUAUGUAAUAGUUAAAACUUUCAACAACGGAUCUCUUGGUUCUGGCAUCGAUGAAGAACGCAGCGAAAUGCGAUAAGUAAUGUGAAUUGCAGAAUUCAGUGAAUCAUCGAAUCUUUGAACGCACAUUGCGCCCUCUGGUAUUCCGGGGGGCAUGCCUGUUCGAGCGUCAUUACAACCCUCAAGCUCUGCUUGGUAUUGGGCUACACCCGACUGGGUGGGCCUUAAAAUCAGUGGCGGUGCCAUCUGGCUCUAAGCGUAGUAAUUCUUCUCGCUCUGGAGAUCUAGGUGUUUGCUUGCCAGCAACCCCCAAUUUAUCAAAGGUUGACCUCGG
rnacentral:rRNA from 1 species